UACAGAGGGUGCAAGCGCUGUUCGGAAUCACUGGGCGUAAAGGGCGCGUAGGCGGCGAGGUAUGUCCGAUGUGAAAGCCCUCGGCUUAACCGAGGAACGGCAUCGGAAACUACCUUGCUUGAGUGCGAGAGAGGGUGGUGGAAUUCCCAGAGUAGAGGUGAAAUUCAUAGAUACUGGGAGGAACACCUGAGGCGAAGGCGACCACCUGGCUCGUUACUGACGCUGAGGCGCGAAAGCGUGGGGAGCAAACAGG
rnacentral:rRNA from 1 species